CAUUAGGGACUUUAGGGAGGUGUCCGUAGCUACCAGGUUAUAGACCAGCGCGCUGGCCCUAGGUGCAGAGCACGCUGCUGGUGGAGGAGUUGGGGUCCGCCUAGGGUUGCGGGGCUUAUUCAAAUACCGCCUGCUGCUGCUGUGAUUCGCAGGGACUCGGCCUCCAUAUGACGCCUAAAGGAGCCUGUUUGUGUGCUGUGGCCACGUUCUGCUGUGACUGGAUCUUGUCUUCUGCCUGGGUCCUCGAUUUCCGUCCGGCUGAAUUUGGGGACAACACUGCUUGGCGCAGACAGAUCAAAUGAGACUUCAAAGAAGCAUAUCCUGAACAAGCUAUUCAAUCAACCAAAGGCCGGGGCAGCAGUACGCCAGCAAGACGCAUCUUCUCCCCGCCUAGAAGUCCUGAGAAAUCGAGGAUCUCUCCUAAAACAUUCAUAUACAAGAUAUGUGCAAUCAAGCUUCCAGCACUUGGUACAAAGCUCAUGAUGCCUAACCCAGUGAUCCGGAGCAGAUCUUUGAAUCAGCUGUCACUUCUAUAGAAUGGGAUUUUCCCCUUCUUCCUCUUUAACCAGCGUUGGAAACUGCCUAUGGCUUUACACAUCUCAGUAGAGGAAGGCUAAAGAAUCUUACGUGAGAAUGAAGCAAUUUACAAUGCAAAUAGAGGCCUGUGAAGAGCUGGACGCUGCUGCUCUACCCCCAACAGCUUGCUGCACCUUAGUCGCUGGUCUUAUUUUCCGAUACUAAUAGAUGAAUUGUUGGCUAACGAUGCUGGAGAUUACUUGCUGGAAGGGGAAAGAAAAAGUUUGGAAUAAAUUCUGAAUGCAACAGAUCUCAUUUGGAUGUUCUAGACGCAUACACCCAGACAGAAACCAGGUCAUGUUUACAUGAAAGGAGAAUCUUAAACGCGGCGAAUAUCCUUCCCUGAGGACUAUGCUUCCCCCAAACCAACGAGGAUCCGGAUCUGGAGUCCAGCCAGAGGAAGACAGCCUUGUGAGGGAAGCGAGUUGUUAUCUUUGGUUAUCUAGCUGUAUGAGUGUAUUGGUCUUCAUAAAGCUAGAUAACCGAAAGUAAAAACUCCUUCAAGAUCACCGAGGAGUGCUCCGGAAAGAAAGACUACAGUCAAGAGACAGUAAAAACCAGAAAGGUCAGGAAUGCUUAUUGAAUCUAACUUUUUUUUUCUUAUGGUUGAAAGUGGGAUGCAAGGAAACUUAAGUGACACAUAUACUGAAAUCCUAAGGGGCCAGGUUUUGAGGGGGUUGUACAACUGGAGAGGAGAAUUGUGUAGUAUUUUUAUGGGCGAAGAUGCAUGUAUUUUCUAUAUUGUUCUAUUUUGAAGCAAACGUUUACUUAUGGGAUUUUUUUUCUUAGAAAGCUGUUAUAGCGAUGCCUGGUACCUCGUUUUAAAAAAUGAUUUCAUAAUUAUGUAGAUUGGGCAGUUCCCAUCUGAGGCUCCUCCCCCAAGUUUGAAGCUUGUGCCUGGAAACUUUCUAUGUAUUUGGUGUGUACAUCAAAUUCUGUGAAGUUAGACUUUCAGAAAGCUUAUACUGGGAGGUUAAUAAUUUAUCUCUACCGAGGACUUAGAGCUAGAAGGGAAAAGGGGUGGGGGCAAAGGCUGAUUUUUAUUCUUCUAUUCAAAAUACAAGGACAGAUGCUUCUCUGUUCCAAGAGGGUUUCCUUGAGGAAGCUACUGAAGCAGAAAGACAUGAUGGAGACGAGAUCGCCUCCCCUCUUGUCAAAGUGUUAAAAAAAUGUUCUGUCUUACUCUGCGCCUAGCAUUGGAAAUGAAAGUGACAUUUACGCCACAACCCACGUGUGCGCCUCCUCUCUUUUUGUUUAAGGAUGAUCAGGUCUAUCCAGGAAACAGCUCUGGCAUCCCAAACUGAAAUAAUUAGGACGUAUAUAGACCUGACAAAAAUGGAAGGGGGUGGGGAAUCUGAGGGUCUGUCUUGCCUAAUUGAUUCCGCUAAACGGAAAGCAGGAGAUGUGAACGGCAGGACGCUCCGAUUCCCACGCUCGGGGGCAAGUGGUAAAGCCUGGCCGGCAGCCUAUGACAGACAGCCCUGUUGGGGGGUAGGGGGAUGAAAAAAACAUCAAGCGCACACACACCAUACUCAUCUCCAUCCUUAAGAAAGUAAAGGCAUUUCCCACCCACAGCCAUCUGCAGCCUUCCAAAUGGCAACACCAACUGGUUGGUGACUGCUACGCGUACUGUCUCUGUUAUUUUUUUUUAAACCUCUGUUUAAUCUGGCCAUGAUUAAAUUUGGUUUUCUCCUUUGGUUGAAAUUUUCAUUAUUUAAGGAAAGCAAGUGCCAAGACCAUCCCAGGACUGCAUGCCCUCCUCAGAGAAGUCCUCGGUAUGUGGUUAGGGCCUGUGACCACCUUUGGCUUUUGUUUUGGCUGUGUUAUAUUUAAAAGUCACAUCUCAUAGCCCUCCUUACUAUGACUUACUUCAUUGGGUUGUUUACUUCCUUGUGUGACACACAAGGACUUGACCUACUGAUGCUGAUCUACAUUCUGAAAAUAAAGCUGGAAAGGCAUCAGCCUAUAGAAAGUUGGUUGCAACCACAGUAUGUUAAAGAACUUGUUUUAAAAUAGUCCUAGCAGAAUGUGCUUUUUUUCUUUUCUUCCUCCUCCUCCUCCUCCUCCUCUCCCUCCUCCUCUUCCUCCCUCUUCACCUAAAAGUAACUAGUCCCAGCAUAAACUUUGAGGUUUUGAGGAACCAUGGUAGUCCUUUUUUGAAAUUCCUUAUAUUCUGUUACAUUUUAUCAGGCAAACAUUUGUAUAGGCAUUUGCACAUAAAUAUAAGGAUGGCAAUGAAAAAAAAAAUCCCCAAACUGCCUGUUAUCUUCCACAUGGCCUAAAUUACUGAGACUCCCAAAUGCAUACUUUUUCUUCAGGGACAGUACAUUUUUCUUUACAGCUUCAACCUCUUACAGGGUUGAGACUAGAGGAACCAGUAAAGCCACUGGUACUCCCAUUUAGAAAAGCCAAGAGACUUUAAUAACGUAAAUUCUCAAUUUGGCUGCUGAACAUGUGCCAAAGUUUUACGGCUGUAGUGACUGUCGAGAAGACCCUUGUUUAUUUACCUUUAAAGCACUGUUUGUGCAAACAAGCCUUCAUUGUUAAGUGCCUGUAUUCCUUUCAUUUGCUUCUUGUCCAGGGGUGCUAUUUACCUAGAACCAUUGUCUACUACAAUUAACAUUUACAUUACAAAGUGUGUGCUUUUCCUUCUCAAGGAGGUUCAAUUAAGGCAAUAAGAUGUUUGCUGGGGAAACCUAUUGUUUACUCAAAGCACUCAAUGGGGUCAAAUUACUGAAGUUUUUGCCUACAUCUUGGGUUGUUUAUGUAAAUAUGUUAACUAUAACAUCUAAGGAAAAUAAACAAUAUUAAAAUUAUGUGUUUGCCAUUGUCAUAUCCAACUUGCUUUGUAUCAUACUAAUGUUACAUAACUUAUCGAUCAAUAAAAAUACAUUUCAAUGUUAUUUUCAUUUUACUUUUUGCUGUUCCACUGCUCCUGCUGCAACAUGUCCCAAAUUUUCUUUUU
ensembl:lncRNA